UACAGUUGGUAUGCAUGAACAGAUUUUAUCCAAAUAUGGAAUUACAGUGUUCAGUUGGGUGUUUUACAAAUGAACAGUCUCAUAAACGAAGCUGUGGUGUUGUUUCUCCUGUGAUAAGAGCAGCAAUUGACUUCUGAGUUGUAGUAUCUAUAUCUUGGUAUAACCAAAAUGUCUUGUGUGUCGUUGUAGUUAAACAGUAAACUGCUGUAGUUUAAAAGUUAAAAUAAAAUGGUGGAUUUGCAAUACACAGAGGUAAUCACUCAACAACAACAACAAAAAAAGUAGAACAAUUAAAAACAGUCAAGCAACCAACUUUGAAAUUAUUGGAUCACUUGAGAUGAAAUGACCUGAAAGUCAGGGGGAAGGAUCUUCAAAUAGGUGUAACUUUUGAUAAUGUUUUUCAUUUAAUCUUCUAGUUUCGGACUAAACAUCCUCUACCAGCUUCCAAACUAUCAAAAGUGCAUUUUUCAUGAUGUAAACGAUUAUUUGAGGUGUUACUCAUAACCACCGGUUAUAUCCAUCGGGAUAUAACAGUUUGUCCACACGAGGCCGCUCUUGUUCAAGAGAUGACUGGUAACAGUGUGCCAGUCUAUAGUGAAACACUCACGGAACUAUAUUAUGUUAUCCCAUGUCUUUGCAUAGUUUCCCGCUGCAUGUCGGAAUUCCGGAGUUCAUAUUGUAAAUGUGUAAUGGCGUGCAAAACUCGUCACAGUGUUGUCUAUAACAUAAUGUCUUUACCAUGAUGCAAAUUAACUUGGUGUGUGUGAGAGAGCGAAGACCUGGCAACCAUGAACCAUGCGCUGACGUAAUCACCGCGCGCCCUUUGCUGGCUUGUCGCGCGUGCGUUCCUGCUCCUUUUUUGUUCGAGGUCCACGAAGCGUGCACGUGCCAGCUCAAGGUUAUAACCCGGCUAAUCAUAAAGCUCGUGAAAAAAAAGCAGAAACACAGCAGAGCCACAAUGAUUUCAUGUUUCUGUUCAGCAACUGAUUACCGUCCCGGAUAGGAUGGACACCGGGAGAUGUGUAGGUGAACUGAUGCUCAGAUGACUGAAGGGAGCAGUACCUAGUCCUUUCUGAGGUAUAUAUUUCACAUUCAUUAACAAUAUCAGGGCAGAAGCAUAUUCAUGACUGGUCAAAUCACUUCUGAAAAUAAUGUAAAUGGAGUCAUGAUAGUGGAAUUAUGCAGGCAUGAUUUGUUCAGCUAAGAAGCUAAUCAAAGCAAAGCUGAUUAUAAGAUAUGUGCAAGGAUGACCCCUACCUGCUGAGGUUAUAACCAGUGAAACAUAGCAUGUAUUACCUGAGCACAUAUUGGUUCUUUGAGCAGAAAGAGCAGCAUUUCUGUGAACCUCACUUUUAAUGGGUUUGUUUUUAUUUUUCUGUUUUAUGAGGUUUUGUGGAACUACAGUGAAGAUAACCAUACCAAUACAGAAUCUUGUCAUGUGGAGAUUGAAAAAGUAUGUAUUUCACACCCCUUCUCUACUAUAACAUAACAUUUAAUAAAAAUCCCAACUGAAAGGUAACUGUUGCAUGUAUUUUAUGGGGGAUGUUGGAGGUAAAGACUGGAUUGAUUACCACAUCUCUGAAAUUUGCAUAUUAUAUGGUUGUGUUAAAUUUCUAUAUUUUGAAACUGAACAGUUCCUUUGGAAUUUGGUUCCAAGGUGAAUACAAAGGUAUAUGCAUAUAAAUGCACUUUACCACCAGUGUAAACUUGAUGUAUUAUAGCACAUAUACUCGUCCAGCCAAAUGAGGCACAUUGGAUAGGAAAUGGUAAUAUUUAAGUUUUAAAGAUUAAUGUAAAACUUGGAUUAGCUCUCUGGACACUGCUGUUGUGCCAAGUGAGUUGAUUAUUGGUAGUGAAUGAAUUGUUCCCAUCAUUUAACAUUUGAAAUCUAAUAAAUGUUAAUAAAUUGAACUACUUGCUUUCUUGUUUUCAUUCAAAAUCAUUUACAAAUACACAAUAGGAAAAAGCUAAUUUGUAUAUUAUCUAUAGAGUGCACCCCAGAAUCAUUGGCAACUAAAUCAUAAAAUUGCAAAGAUUGUAUACAAUAAGCAUUAAACACAACUAAAAAUAAUUUUCCACUCCAACAGAAUGGACAUAGUACUUUAUUUUCUAUACAGUGCUCUUUUCUUUAUUCUUUUUUAAAUAAUGCUAUAAACUAUGUACCAUAACUGACACCCUUAUGCCAAUAAAUUAUUUUGUUCAUUUGCUCUGUUACUAGCAACUGUUGUUGCAAUUAUCCAGGUCCUGUUUCCCUGUGGUAUAAAUGUGGUUACAUAUCCAUCCCUUUUUUCCCAUUAGUAUAGAACAAAACCAAAGAACUUUCAACAUGAGACACCUGACAAUGAAUAUAACAUGUAUGAAACAAUUGGAAACUUGCCAGGAAUUGAACCCUUGACCACACUGACCACCCACACAGUGAGGAGGAUGGUGGAGAGAAAAAGAAACUAAAGAUCACAGUAAAGACAAACCUUGAAAAGAAAAAAAAACAACCCUGAACAUUUCAUGAGUUACUUUCAUAAAAAGCUGUUUGCAAGAACAAGAAGAAAGAAGCCCUUCCCGAGAGCGUCUCACAAAAUGCAGCACCCGAACUUCACCAAGCAUCGUUGGUAUUACACUUGCUAUUGUGUGUAAAUCCGUCUACAACCUAAUACAAGAAAAGAUUCUUUUUUCCAGAUCAUGUGUCAAAAUAUUAAUUGUAAGGAUGCAUAUAUACUUUUGAAACCAGUGAUAGAAAAUAUACAACAAUGGCUGAAUAAAACUAUACUAAAUAAUUUCAUGUGUUUUUUAUAUAUUCACUUUUGCUAAUCCCAAAGAUUCUGGAGGAUACUGUAAAUUGUGGCCAAUAACUGUUGGAUGCUCAUACAUACAUGUAAAUUGUGAUAAACGUCAUCUGUUGUGAUCAAACACUAAUACAAAGUCUUAAUUUAUACAUGUGAUGCAUGUGUUGAGUAAACAUUCGGGUGUGUUUAAUAGCAGUGUACCAAAAGAACAGUGUUAAGCAAAUACAUUUAUUUCAAUUUCUGUUCAAAACCAUCCCAUUUCGCACACACAACAAAUUCUCUAAUGGCAUCUGUUGCCCAAACAAAAUGAAAUAAAAUAAAUGAUGUCUCAUUAUUAGCUGUAUAAGUGCAGCUAUGUCAUGGUAAAUGUUAAACCAUCUUUUCUUCUUCAUUUUCUCCUUCCUGGUAGUGGCGAUAUUCUGCUUUCAGCUCCCAGGUGCUUUUGUGAGGUCCUCUGGGAUUGUAAACUCCAAUCUCACGCAGGAUUUCUUUCAGUAGAUGCUGAAGAGAAGGCGGGGUGUCAACCAUACUCUUCCAUAUAGAACUGGAUACAUGGAGAGGGGUUAUGAAAGAAACACUGUUGUGAAACACCACAGGCAUCAGAGCAAUCUCAGUUAGAAAAGGUGGAGGCAAUCUUUAUCAUCUGUGUGACAUUUUCUUUAGAACGUCUUAACUCUUGUUGCCACCCACCACCUCCAUGUUAUGCAAUGACGGUCAACUGUAAUUUGCAGUUUCAAAUGGCAAAUGUCUCAUGUAAAAGUCUUUCCUUCAACAACUGUCAAUCAAGUGAUUUAACUAACACCUCAGCAAACUAUGAAUAACUUAACAGCGUUACCAUUUAUAGAAAAUCUUGGCACAGCAAAUAAUGACUGCACUAUAAUCAUCAAUUACCAUUAAAAACAUAUAAAAUUGGAGUGACAUCUGGUUGCGUGUGUAUGCAGUUUAAAGGGAAAUUACUGAGGAAGGAACUUCAGCUGAACAUUUUCACUAUAUUUCUGUUCGUAAAUAGGUCAUUACGUUCAUAUUCAUGAUAUGCAUUGUGAAAACUAACACAAUACACAGUGAUGCGAUAACACCCCCCCCUCCCCACAGCUGUAAUUAAACACAGCUCUGAUGAGCUGUUACUCAUAGCUCUGUACAAGUUUUAAAAUCUAGGGUAACACUCAGAAUGGCACAAAAACCUACGCUUCAACAUACAGAAUAUGCACAUGCAAAGUAAAGAGCAUGAAGUUAACAUUUACUGUGAAAGUCAGCAUCAAG